UACGAAGGGGGCUAGCGUUGUUCGGAAUCACUGGGCGUAAAGGGCGCGUAGGCGGCUUUAUAAGUCGGGGGUGAAAGCCUGUGGCUCAACCACAGAAUUGCCUUCGAUACUGUAGAGCUUGAGACCGGAAGAGGUAAGUGGAACUGCGAGUGUAGAGGUGAAAUUCGUAGAUAUUCGCAAGAACACCAGUGGCGAAGGCGGACUUACUGGUCCGGUUCGUGACGCUGAGGCGCGAAAGCGUGGGAGCAAACAGG
rnacentral:rRNA from 1 species